AAUAUUGGACAAUGGGCGCAAGCCUGAUCCAGCCAUGCCGCGUGAGUGAAGAAGGCCUUCGGAUUGUAAAGCACUUUCAUAUGGGAGGAAAGGCCGCUAACUAAUACUUAACUGGUAUGACGUUACCAACAUAAUAAGCACCGGCUAACUACGUUCCAGCAGCCGCGGUAAUACGCAGGGUGCAAGCGUUAAUCGGAAUUACUGGGCGUAAAGCGCGCGUAGGUGGUUCGUUAAGUUGGAUGUGAAAGCCCCGGGCUUAACCUGGGAACUGCUUUCAAAACUGGCGAGCUAGAGUACGGUAGAGGGUGGUGGAAUUUCCUGUGUAGCGGUGAAAUGCGUAGAUAUGGGAAGGAACAUCAGUGGCGAAGGCGACCACCUGGACUGAUACCGACACUGAGGUGCGAAAGCGUGGGGAGCAAACAGG
rnacentral:rRNA from 1 species